CAUGGAAUUAUUGUGGCUACAGAGUUUUUCAUAACCUUCAUUUUAGUGCUCACAGCCGAUUCAAGAUUGUAGGUACAAUUCUUUCUGUCUAUGAAAUAAUGGCUAUGAGUUUCCUAAAGGUCUUGCUCCUGCUUUAAACCUUCUCUGGCCUUCAUUUGACCCUCAUUCACAAAACAUCAUCCCUGGCUUUCUACAUGAGGGGAAUUCUGAAAAAACUAUCACAGGAAGCAAUUUUUUGAAGGGUUUUUAACUGUAAUUUUAGAGGCAUAAAACAUAACGAUGGAGCUGCAAGUAGCCUUUGCAUGAAGCUUCCUCCGUAGCUUUUUUUAAUGGAUAGGUAGAGGUCCAAAAGAGCCGAAAAAAAAUUAGCGGGUCGUCUCUUUGCAAGCAGGUUUGGCUGCCUUUCAUGUGUCACAAAAAAUCAAACUAUUGUAUGGCUACGGUUGUUUCUCAGAGUAGCAAUGGUGAGAAGAAUACGUGGGAUGUCGCUGCAGCUGACUAACAGAACCACAAUUUGGUGCAGUGAUACAAAUGAUUUUCAUUUACUUACAAUCAAGUAUUGAAUUCCCAAGGAUACACCAGAGAUUUUACGGAUUCAAUUGUGGGAUACUGUCAUAUGUUUGAAUUAAAUUCUUUAGAUUUUUCAAAAUUGUUACUGUUAAAUCUGUUUGGAAGUUUUUCCAUUUGCUGUAGUCUAAUUCUUUUGGAAAAAAUUGGCAUUUACUGUUAAAUAUGUUUGCAAAAAUUCUUUCCAGAAAAAUAGGCAUUUUAGCUAAAUUUGUUUUGAAAUUUUUUCCAAUUUUUUCGUUGAAGGUUUUCUUUAUUUCUUCAAUUUAAAGUUGUAGAGAAUUUUUGUUACAUGUGUUGACAUAGGCCGAUUGAAGUAAACCAUUCCAGGUGGACCAGUUCAGGACUUACAAAUUUAGAUUACUGAUUUACAAAUUACCAAUUUGACUCUCUUCUAUAUCUUCUGUCAUAUAAACCAAUAGAUUGCAUUUCGGCCUAUCCAAUUUUUCGUUAUUUUUUUCAACUCUAUUAUAAAAUCCAAUAGAUUUCAUAGAUUUCAUUUCGGCCUAUCCAAUUUUCCGUUAUUUUUUUCAACUCUAUCAUAAAACCCAAUAGAUUUAGAUUUCUGCCCGUCUAAUUUUCUGUUAUGUUUUUCAACUGUAGCUCCCUAUUGCAAGUUUUUUCGUAGAAGACUAUGCCUAGACUGCCAACCUAGAACCUACUGGGAAGUCAAGGUCUCCAAUGCCCCCUUCAGUGUAUAUCACUAUAAUCCCCUAUAAUAUCAUGAAUGUUAUUAGUAUUGUAAAAUUUGAUAACCUAAUGCUUGUAAACCACUGUUUGAGAUGAACCAGACAGUACGUCAGGAUAAAUUAUGGUAUAACUUCAACUUAAGGUUAGAAUUUUGUUAAUUAAAAGUCAUCCUCAUAUUCCACACCCUGCCCAUCCCAUCCCCUUCCCCUUGAUGAUCAGCAUAGUUUCUUCUCACAUAGCAUUGUUUAUUUCUUUUAUCUCUCAGCUUGAACUAACUGUUAAUAUGUUUUGAUUGUUGAACGACAUUAUGAAUCAAGCAGAUUUCAGAUUAGUGGAUUGUUAUUAUUUAAAUUUAUUAUCAAUUCGGAAAAGUGUGAUUUUCAAGGACAUUGUAGUUUUCCUAUUAUAGCUGACCCUUUGACAUCUUUCAUGCAAACAUUUUUGGUUGAGGAUUGCGUAGAUCUAAAGCCUCUUUAAGUUCUGAUAUAUAUUAAAAAAACAUUCUUUACAUUUCCUAGUAUCAUGUUUGCAUAUUUUAAAGAUACAAAAGAACAGAUGUGUCUUAGUAUAUAGUUAAUACUCUUUAAGUUAAACAUAAUCCAUGUCUGUACAUCUGUGUUCAUAGUAGAGCACGGUGUUUUCACUUUUCAAUUUUAAGGAUCGUAAUCUUAAGGUAUGGUUUGACGGGAUUUCAAUUUAAUUCAUUUCUAUUAUCAUGGAAAUCCUCGUACAAGUUCUCAGUUAUGUUCAUUCAUCUUACAAAAACAUUUUUUAUAUUUCCUGGAUUCAUAUGUAUCAAAGAUACAAAAGAGAAGAGAUGUCUUAUAAAUUAGAAUAUACACACUUAUACAUGAUAGGCUCUGGGCGUUUGCAUUUCUAGUAUAUCUGCGACUCUAAGAAUGGAGAGGACACAAAUAUUGGGAAUCUAUGCAAUCAUGUAUUUAAUAUUUCUACAAUAAUAGAAUGCUUUCACUAUUCUAUCUUUAAGAUUUGACUUAACCUCUUUAAGGGAUAUUAAUGAAACAAGAAGGUACCCAGGAAGUAAAGGAUACCAGAAUUACAGUCUACUUCCUCAUGGUUACAUAUCACAAACAGUACUAUAUCUAUUGAACAUAUUGUAAUUCAGAAAGACGGAGAUAACCAAAACAGAAUUGUAAUGAAGAAAAGGAUUUUACCUAGCUCCACCAGAGUUGAAGGUCCCUUGUCUUUUGAUGGCCACAAACGGCAAUUUUUUUUGAUAGAAUUCCACCACAGAUCUGCAGAGCAGAAAGACAUGAUUGAUUGAGACCCAACAAUGGCAAAGGCUUCUCCCCUUCCUCUUCCUCUUCCUCUUCUAGUCCAUUUUCAAUUUCUUUUAUCAUUUUAGAAAUUUGAACUAAUGAAAGGUGCAACCAUUAUUAAGUUUUCUGAGUGCUGAGAUUUGAAUAUUUUUCAACAAACAUGAAUGAAGUGGGUGAAUUGGAAUUUACUAGUUUUGAAUCUACAGAGGGAAAUUCCAAAUAAAAGCAAGUCACCUUGCCUUUAUGUAUAUAGAAAUGGUAUUUUGAGUUGGUUUUCUCCAUUGCCAAGUGCCAUAUUGUUAUAUGGACACCAAGCUACCAUGUGGGCUUGUAGACUUUAUACUUUCCUAACAUUCUCUACAAGAAUUGUUUAUUGAAGGAAUUAAAAUUUUGACACAUUUAAUAAUAUUGUU